AAAGAAUGGCAUUGACGUGAACCUUGAAUUGGUACUGAUAUUGCAUAUAGAAAACUGUAAAAUCAAAAAUACUAAAUACAUAAAAUACGACAAGGGUGUAAGGUCUGUGAUUUGUUCCGUUGAGGUACACAUGUGUUUGAAAAAUAAUUUUGCGUUAUCUAAAUUGUCAGAUCUGCGUUAGAAAUAUGUUGAAUGUUUCUAGUAUAGUGUCUGACGAGUUCCCUUAUUUGCUUCAGUUUUUCUGCAUUACACCUGGUACAAUUUUUUUUUGAAAAACUAGGUGGACAUACAAUUACAAAUAGUAACACUUAAUAGCUGAAAGAAGUUUUUUUUACACCAUGUAAUGCUGCUAACAUCAGUAAUAAUUAUGUGCACGUAACAUGAUUUUCAUCUUAACAGCAACCCUUCUUUCGCCUCUUCCAUAUUUGUACAUUGAUGAAAAUAUUUUAUUUUUAGAUAUUGAAAAUUUUCAGACAAAGGUUCCAAAUCGUAAAAAAUAGAACUGUGUCAUAAUUGAAUGGAGGAAUCCAAUAUACCACAGGUAAGUUAUAAAAGAAUUAACCGUUAUAGAUAUGCAAUUUCCUAGAUAUUAAUACAUGCAUUUUCAGAAAUUGAAAAAAAGAAAUACCUCUAACAAAGUGGUUGUUAAAGUUGAUGCAAGGAAUGUUAACGGUCCAAUCAAAUACCGUAGUUUAUAUAUAUCUUCCAGAUAGUACGACCCGACUAUAAAAGCUUACUACAGAUAGAUCUGCGUCGCACUGUGCUAUUUGACACGCUUACGUUCUAACCAAGCAUACAGAAAUCUCUCACUACUUUUUCAACCACAAAACAGAAUCAGGUAUGUACGUACUAUUGAAUAUAUUUGUAUUAUUCAUUUACACAAUAAGCUCGUCUUUAAAAAUAUAUUAUAUACCUAAAAGGUUUGUUCUCUGUAGAUGAGCUAUACAAUAUUCUAAGACCAAAGUUUUCUUUAAAUUGUAAGUUCAAAUAAUUUUACUGAUAAACCUGAAAUUUCUGGCAUAUACUGUUAUUACAUCAGUUCAAUGGUCAGAAACUAAUUAGUGAUCUCUUAAAAAGUAUAAGAAUUGGACUGAGAAAUUUUCAAAACUAAAUAAAAUUAAGUAAAGUUGGUAUGAUUGUAAAUGAAACAGAUUCAUUCACCCAGAGUUUGAAUGAAUUAGAUAUAAGAAAUUAUAGGUCUUUAUACCGAACGAAAAAAAUCAAGUGUAUUAUCAUAAUAAAUCUGGGACAUUUAAAAUACGAAACUGAAUACAUAAGAAUGUAAUAAACAGCAGAAUUUUCAGAAAAUGCACCAUGUCUAAUGAAAUAUAUGCGAUCGAUAAACGUAGUAAGUGCGUUAAAAUAAUGUGUUAUUGCAUUCUUUGUACAAAUUAUAAAUACAUGUUUUCAUAAUACCAGCAAUAUUUAAUACACAGUAAAACAAUAAGAAAACCAAUGUCUACUUUGCAUAUUUUCAAAUUGAUUGUUUGGUUUAUUUGUAGUAAAAUAAAACAUUAUUUAAACUAUGAAAUAAAUGCAUUUAAUGCAGUCCAUUGGAUUGCAUUGAUUCUUAUUAAUAUUAUGAAAUUUCAAUUGAUGCUUUAAAUAAAUGUAAUAAUUAAUUAUAUAAAGCAUAACAUUGAAUUUUCUGUUUUUUGCUUAUUUGAAAAUUCUGGAUACCAUUGCCUACUUAUCUCUUAUCUAAAACCGUAUUUAUUUUUUACAGUAGAAACAUGUCUGGAAGAGGUCAAGGCCAAGCUAGUAACGAUAACAAGUCUGCCCAGUGUAAUCCAACCAGCACUAAAUAUGAAGGACAUCAGCCUGGUUAUACUGGAACCGGGACUAAGCCAGACCUGGACAACCACUCCAACCAAUUGAAUCCAAACAAUCAGGAAUAUAAGGGAUCGAAAUAACAAUGAUAUUUUCACGAAUCGGGUUAUAUAAACCUGUGCGAGACAUUUACUGUUUCAGCAAUUUGAUAAAUUAAAAUGUUUUAAAUUAAACUUUCCUACCUGAUUUCGUGUGUAAAACACUGCUUUGCCAACGUGGUGUUGUAACGUUAGUUCUUUCUGUCCAAGGUGUACUUUAGUCUAUACUGUUUGAUUGUAUUUUAGAUUUCGUCUACUUUUAAAGUUGUUUUUAGUGUUUGAAUGAAUGUUUAAUUAGUUAAAACUUCAAACUUAUUUUCAGCCAUUUUCAUUUGCAGUAAAAUGUAAUUACUAUUUUGAGAAUACAAAGUUUUUAUUCUAUUUGUGUCAACAGAUUCUAUGCUUUAUAUUUUUGAUAGUGUUUUUUAACCAUAUUGCAAAAUGUAAAGUCGAAUAUAUUUGACACAGACUGUCCAUAUCGAUGCUGUUUGUCUUAAUUUAACUAUUUUUUUCUUAAAUUUGUUUGCAAGCAUGAUCAUCAUAGUGAGAAGUCAUUGACAAAGACCAUGAUUAUACUCGUAUUUGUCCAAGAAAGAACAUAACAGACAGCAGCAACUGUCUAGACUAAAAAUAUGUCAAAGCUGGUAAACAAGAAAAAAUAAUGCGUUUAAUAAUGCGUAAAUGCUGCUAAUAAACUAAGACAUAAACAAGUAAAAAAAAAGAGGCAACAGUUGUUUCCGAUAUUUAAAUCUCAUCAAUUAUUCAAAUAAAUAAAUAUGAUUCGGUGAUUAUCUAAAAAUGCGGAAGGAAGAAGCUGAAUGUUUCAUGUACUAAUAUGACGAGUUUCCCUUUAUUCAUAAUUUUUGCAUGACACAUAGUAAUAGACCAUCUAGAAAAGGAACUUCUAUUAUAUUGAUGUUGGUGCAAAAUUCUAACGAAAAACAAAUUUAAAAAUCUGUGAUUAAUAACAAUUAUUUUUGACUGCGUAAGAAUACAACGAAGAAAUUGAGACGAGACUUUGCCAUUUUAUCAUCUUAUGUAGUGAAUUUAUAUAUAAAAUAAAAAAAAACCCGCUUGCGAUUUUUGUCAUUGACAAUACUAGUUUCGACUUUUAUUGAUACAAAUUUAAAACAUUUUCAGACAAAUGUUCCAAAAGAAGUUUGCCAUUUUACCAAGGUUGAUUUCAAUAGAGUAUAGAUAAGUUAUGGAUACGAUUAGUCAACAUCGAAUGUAACUUUCUAGACAUUAAUACAUGCAAUGCCAAGCAAGUAACGACAACAAGUCUGCCCUGUGUAAUCCAACCAGCAUUAAAUUUGAAGGACAUCAGUCUGGUUACUGGAACGGGUCAAAAUAACAAUGAAUGUAACAGCACGUAUAAGCUUAUAUAAAACUGUGCGCGACAUCAAUAGUUUGAGCAAUAUGAUACAUUCAACUAUUUUUAAUCAAUCUUAUCUGCUUGAUUUUGUGUGUAAAACAUUAUAGUCACGAUAACUUAGUGUAGCCUUACAAUACGUAAAAUUGAGAAUGGAAAUGGGGAAUGUGCCAAAGAGACAACAACCCGACCAUAGAAAAAAACAACAGCAGAAGGUCACCAACAGGUCUUCAAUGUAGCGAGAAAUUUCGUCAGUAAAUACCACUGCCUGUUUACUUGUUAUUUAACUGCCUAAGUCUUACUAUAUUCUACACUUACGUAUAAAUAAAUAAAUAAAUAAAUAAUCUUUAUUUCAAGAGGAUGAUCCC
rnacentral:lncRNA from 1 species